GGUCACUGCUAUCGGUGUUCGUCUAAGCCAUGCGAGUCAUAUGUUCUUCGGAACAUGGCGUACUGCUCAGUAACACGUGGAUAACCUGCCCUUGGGUCUGGCAUAACUCCGGGAAACUGGGGAUAAUACCGGAUAACGCAUAUCUGCUGGAAUUCUUUAUGCGUGAAAUGGAUUCGUCUGCCCAAGGAUGGGUCUGCGGCCUAUCAGGUAGUAGUGGGUGUAAUGUACCUACUAGCCGACGACGGGUACGGGUUGUGAGAGCAAGAGCCCGGAGAUGGAUUCUGAGACAUGAAUCCAGGCCCUACGGGGCGCAGCAGGCGCGAAAACUUUACAAUGCGGGAAACCGUGAUAAGGGGACACCGAGUGCCAGCAUUAUAUGUUGGCUGUCCGGGUGUGUAAAAUACACCUGUUAGCAAGGGCCGGGCAAGACCGGUGCCAGCCGCCGCGGUAACACCGGCGGCCCGAGUGGUGAUCGUGAUUAUUGGGUCUAAAGGGUCCGUAGCCGGUUUGGUCAGUCCUCCGGGAAAUCUGACGGCUUAACCGUUAGGCUUUCGGGGGAUACUGCCAGACUUGGAACCGGGAGAGGUAAGAGGUACUACAGGGGUAGGAGUGAAAUCUUGUAAUCCCUGUGGGACCACCUGUGGCGAAGGCGUCUUACCAGAACGGGUUCGACGGUGAGGGACGAAAGCUGGGGGCACGAACCGGAUUAGAUACCCGGGUAGUCCCAGCCGUAAACGAUGCUCGCUAGGUGUCAGGCAUGGCGCGACCGUGUCUGGUGCCGCAGGGAACCCGUGAAGCGAGCCACCUGGGAAGUACGGCCGCAAGGCUGAAACUUAA
rnacentral:rRNA from 1 species